GAGUCGUUGAUUUCACACUGCCGAGAAAAGCCUCUAGAUAGAAAAUAGGUGCCCGUACCGCAAACCGACACAGGUAGUCAAGAUGAGAAUUCUAAGGUGAGCGAGCGAACUCUCGUUAAGGAACUCGGCAAAAUGACCCCGUAACUUCGGGAGAAGGGGUGCUCUUUAGGGUUAACGCCCAGAAGAGCCGCAGUGAAUAGGCCCAAGCGACUGUUUAUCAAAAACACAGGUCUCUGCUAAACCGUAAGGUGAUGUAUAGGGGCUGACGCCUGCCCGGUGCUGGAAGGUUAAGAGGAGUGGUUAGCUUCUGCGAAGCUACGAAUCGAAGCCCCAGUAAACGGCGGCCGUAACUAUAACGGUCCUAAGGUAGCGAAAUUCCUUGUCGGGUAAGUUCCGACCCGCACGAAAGGCGUAACGAUUUGGGCACUGUCUCAACGAGAGACUCGGUGAAAUCAUAGUACCUGUGAAGAUGCAGGUUACCCGCGACAGGACGGAAAGACCCCGUGGAGCUUUACUGUAGCCUGAUAUUGAAAUUCGGCACAGCUUGUACAGGAUAGGUAGGAGCCUUUGAAACGUGAGCGCUAGCUUACGUGGAGGCGCUGGUGGGAUACUACCCUAGCUGUGUUGGCUUUCUAACCCGCACCACUUAUCGUGGUGGGAGACAGUGUCAGGCGGGCAGUUUGACUGGGGCGGUCGCCUCCUAAAAGGUAACGGAGGCGCUCAAAGGUUCCCUCAGAAUGGUUGGAAAUCAUUCAUAGAGUGUAAAGGCAUAAGGGAGCUUGACUGCGAGACCUACAAGUCGAGCAGGGUCGAAAGACGGACUUAGUGAUCCGGUGGUUCCGCAUGGAAGGGCCAUCGCUCAACGGAUAAAAGCUACCCCGGGGAUAACAGGCUUAUCUCCCCCAAGAGUUCACAUCGACGGGGAGGUUUGGCACCUCGAUGUCGGCUCAUCGCAUCCUGGGGCUGUAGUCGGUCCCAAGGGUUGGGCUGUUCGCCCAUUAAAGCGGUACGCGAGCUGGGUUCAGAACGUCGUGAGACAGUUC
rnacentral:rRNA from 1 species